GCCAUAGCCGGAGCUCAUUGGUCGUGGAGAGGUCCAUGGCCCUGCGUACCACCUGCACGGUCAAUCUGCCGCAGGAGAAACGGCCUGCAUGCCGCAGCGAGAGGCCACGCAAGAUUCAACGCCGCCCCCAACCCCAAGGCUUGAUUCGCGGAACCUCUGCCCGGUGCCCCCAGAAUAUUCCAGCACAACCCUCUACGCAUAGCCGGCGGAAAUGUUAUUGAAUUGGGAGUCAAUAUGGGAGACUUUCCAUGCUGAGCCAUAGAGCUAGGGAGAUGAGGUGGGUUACCGGGUAGGAACCAGAACAAGAAUGAGAAGGAGCUUAAGUAGGAGCAUUGCAAGUUGAUAUGGGAGCUCGACUUUAGCAUAUCCACCCACCUCCACAUGCCCUCCUGGCUUUCGUUCACAGGGAUCUGCAACCGCUGGGCCUUCACCGUGGGCGCCGCCGCCUUCGCGCAGGGUGUGGUUGAUGGCUGCCGCCUGGUCUUCACCGCGGGCGCCGCGGAAUCCUCGCCGAGUGCUAUUGGUGGACAUCUCCAUGCUCCAUCGACGUGUGCCGCUGGUGCCGUGAACUAUCUAGGAUAAGGUGCCAAGGUGGGAUCAUGGUUUAGGAACCCAGGAGCUGGUGUUGCUGCUUCAGCAAGUGCCGGAUGCGGCGGCAAGUAUCGUACAACUAGGACAAC